AUGAACCAUGGCGGCGCAACCCAUCCUACGGAUCGAAGCCAGCCAUGGAGCAUCGACUUGGAAGAAGCGCAACAACGUAAGAGUGACGUGGAUAUAGGGUCACGUGCUGCGUCUGCCGGCAGUGGAGCAGCCGAGGUCCUCGUUUCCCACCGUCGACCGACGACCGUACGCUCAGGCGGCGGCGACCACCGAUAUCUGCAAGACCAGCGCGGCGGCGGGCAACAGCAACACUAACGAGUCAGGCUUCCUGUCCAGCGACAUCAUCUCCCACUCCCCUUCCGCCCCUAGCCUGCUACCACCACGGCCAUCACUGAAGGUGCUCAAUCCCCUUCUCUUCCUUCCCCCAACUUCACUCUUUCGACCUCCCUUUUCCUGUAGCUUAUAAGAAUUAGCAAGGUGAAAUAGAGAGGUUGGCCAGGCAUUCAAGGAGAAGGAGGUGAAAUAGAGGUUCCCUAAUUGUUGAGUUCUGCAAUUUCGAAUAGAGUUAACACUGAUUCACCAUCGGGAGUGUCUGUGCUUGAACAGACACUGAUUCUCCAUGUUACCAAUUUCCUGUGAUCUCUUCUCAAAAGUAAAUAUUUCAUACCGCAAUUGUAGUGGUUUGUUGCGAUCUAGCAGAAGUAAUCCAAAAAUGCCUAGGAGCUAGUAGUACUAAGUUGUGUUUAAGUUUGUUUUAAUUAGGAAGCGAUCAACAUUGCCGUGUAAUUAGAUUAGGUGAGUGAAUUUGAGUUUAGAUUGGAGUAUGCUUUAAUUAGGCAAGUGUGGUCGUGUGUCAUCAAGUAGUAGUAAUCCGACUUGGAUUUGUACUUUGUCAGGUUCGUGGCUGUGUCCAUGUAGAUGCGUUGGUCAUGUAAGUACUAGUCCAUAUCCAGUCAUGCUAUGCUUCGUAUAGGUGUGUUGAGUCCGGGGCUGCGUGAGAUUUGUAAUGUGGAGAAAAAUAAAAAGAAAUAAAUAAAAGAAAGGGCACACCAAGGGUCCUUGGCCAAAAGAAAAUUCGCGCCCGUGUUUUUGUGAUCUCUUGAAGAGAUGCUAUAUUAAUGUGAAUACAACACAAAAGUACAAUUUAUCUUGGUAUGUUCUAUCUAUACUAUUAUUGUUGUGACUGUGACUACAUGUUGUAGACUUUUUAUUUAAGGAAACAUAAUUAUGUAGAUGUUCGAGUCUUUACAAAACCAUAUACUAAAUAAGCCCACUUGUUUUCUUAAUGCAUUAGCGGUACGUCGCUCCGAUCCUGUGUGUGUUUGUCCUGAUGCGAAUGGAGUUGCUGCAGUUUCUAAACAAGCACUAACCCAUAAGUCCGCAUAUCUUGUUCCUACUUUAGUGGUUCAUGUAUAGGUAAAUUUAGUGUUUAGAGCCUUAUUUCUGUUCUGGUGUAUAUACAUAGCCUAUGUUUGCAUAUAGACCAUAUCGUUAUGUACAAUUUUUUUAUCGAUCUGGCAGUAAACCCUUUAGACGGAUAAUAUGGGGCAUGAUACACAAUUUUAACUUAUCUUGUUUAUUAUAUAAGAUCGGUGUGACUUGUCUUGCCAUUUUGUUAGAACUAAUAAUAGCCACUUGCCUAUGUUGGAACAGGGAGGAAAGGAAACAAGCCACCGAGUAUGGAUAAACCAUUUUCCUAGACACACAAUAAUGGUACAGCCUUUGCUGAUUCUACAACCUCCGACAAACAUGCAAGACUUAAUUUAAUUGCAUUAACUUCUAUAAUGAGCAGCAAGUGUACAAUUCCUACUGACAUGUAGAAAUUGAUGCAAAUAACUUACUACUGGAUCCCGAUCUUUCGAAUGGUGAAGUUGUGUAGAAAUGUGACUCAUCUAAGCGACGUGAUUGCGUAGCUGGCUUUGGUGGAGGAAUUAGAGCAAGAGAUUUGUGAGGACCCGCAUUAAGUAAGGUUGAAUUGGUUUCUAAACUUCAAGCUUCUAAGAAAGUGAAACAAGUACUCGAAGGAAAGUUCAAUGAUAUGGUGCAAGAAGUGUUAGAAAUUAAGCGUCUUGUGUCUGGUAAAUCUCUAAAUCAUAGUUCCCAUGAAAGACAACAUGAUAAAGACUGAUGGUGCACCGUAAUAUAUAGAAGCAUUAGGAGGCAUUGUAAUGGCGGAUGAAGAUAUCCAUUCAAACAACGAGUGGUGCCCCUCGAUUGAAGAUUAAUUAAUAUUAUAUUUUCUAGUUGUCAUGUUUUCUAGAUAGAUAUGAUCGAGUACAUUGGUCAUAUAUAUAAGGAGUCCUUUUGACUCAACUUUUGUUUAAUGAUAUUUUAAUUUCAGAAUUGUAUGUCAGAAUAUUGGUAUUUCUAUUAAUAAAUGUGGCUAUGACCCUUUUAAUUCA